AUUGAACGCUGGCGGCAGGCCUAACACAUGCAAGUCGAGCGAGCGGCGGACGGGUGAGUAAUGUAUGGGGACUGCCCGAUAGAGGGGGAUAACUACUGGAAACGGUAGCUAAUACCGCAUACUACCGGCUAUCCCAUAUGGGCGUAGCUAGUAGGUGAGGUAACGGCUCACCCAGGCGACGAUCCCUAGCUGGUCUGGGAGGAUGAUCAGCCACACUGGGACUGAGAAAAGGCCCAGACCCCUACGGAGGCCGCAGUGGGGAAUUGUGCACAAUGGGGGAAAGCCUGAAGGAGCCACGCCGCGUGGAUGAAGAAGGCCCUAGGGUUGGAAAGUACUUUCAGUCGGGAGGCGUUACCGACAGAAGAAGCACCGGCUAACUCCGUGCCAGCAGCCGCGGUAAUUC
rnacentral:rRNA from 1 species